AUUGAACGCUGGCGGCAGGCCUCACACAUGCAAGUCGAGCGAGCGGCGGACGGGUGAGUAAUGUCUGGGAACCUGCCUGAUGGAGGGGGAUAACUACUGGAAACGGUGGCUAAUACCGCAUCCCAUCAGAUGUGCCCAGAUGGGAUUAGCUAGUAGGUGGGGUAAUGGCUCACCUAGGCGACGAGCCCUCGCUGGUCUGAGAGGAUGACCAGCCACACUGGAACUGAGACACGGCCCAGACUCCUACGGGAGGCAGCAGUGGGGAAUAUUGCACAAUGGGGGAAAGCCUGAUGCAGCCAUGCCGCGUGUAUGAAGAAGGCCUUCGGGUUGUAAAGUACUUUCAGCGGGGAGGCGUUACCCGCAGAAGAAGCACCGGCUAACUCCGUGCCAGCAGCCGCGGUAAUUC
rnacentral:rRNA from 1 species